rnacentral:rRNA from 1 species
AUUGAACGCUGGCGGCAUGCCUUACACAUGCAAGUCGAACGGUAACGCGGGGCAACCUGGCGACGAGUGGCGAACGGGUGAGUAAUGUAUCGGAACGUGCCCAGUUGUGGGGGAUAACUGCUCGAAAGAGCAGCUAAUACCGCAUACGACCUGAGGGUGAAAGCGGGGGAUCGCAAGACCUCGCGCAAUUGGAGCGGCCGAUAUCAGAUUAGGUAGUUGGUGGGGUAAAGGCCCACCAAGCCAACGAUCUGUAGCUGGUCUGAGAGGACGACCAGCCACACUGGGACUGAGACACGGCCCAGACUCCUACGGGAGGCAGCAGUGGGGAAUUUUGGACAAUGGACGCAAGUCUGAUCCAGCCAUGCCGCGUGCAGGAAGAAGGCCUUCGGGUUGUAAACUGCUUUUGUCAGGGAAGAAAUCCUCUAGGCUAAUACCUUGGGGGGAUGACGGUACCUGAAGAAUAAGCACCGGCUAACUACGUGCCAGCCGCCGCGGUAAAAC